GACGAACGCUGGCGGCGUGCUUAACACAUGCCAGUCGAACGGAAAGGCCCUGCUUUUGUGGGGUGCUCGAGUGGCGAACGGGUGAGUAACACGUGAGUAACCUGCCCUUGACUUUGGGAUAACUUCAGGAAACUGGGGCUAAUACCGGAUAGGAGCUCCUGCUGCAUGGUGGGGGUUGGAAAGUUUCGGCGGUUGGGGAUGGACUCGCGGCUUAUCAGCUUGUUGGUGGGGUAGUGGCUUACCAAGGCUUUGACGGGUAGCCGGCCUGAGAGGGUGACCGGCGACAUUGGGACUGAGAGACGGCCCAGACUCCUACGGGAGGCAGCAGUGGGGAAUAUUGCACAAUGGGCGGAAGCCUGAUGCAGCAACGCCGCGUGCGGGAUGACGGCCUUCGGGUUGUAAACCGCUUUCGCCUGUGACGAAGCGUGAGUGACGGUAAUGGGUAAAGAAGCACCGGCUAACUACGUG
rnacentral:rRNA from 1 species